rnacentral:tRNA from 1 species
UCCCUCGAGGAUUAGGGGUUAAGCCACGGUGCUCUCACUGCCACGGCCUGGGUUUGAUUCCCAGCCAGGGAA